UACAGAGGUGGCAAGCGUUGUUCGGAAUUACUGGGCGUAAAGGGCGCGUAGGCGGCUUGGUCAGUCCCGUGUGAAAUCCCUCGGCUCAACUGAGGAACUGCACGGGAAACUGCCUGGCUUGAGUUCGGGAGAGGGAAGCGGAAUUCCGGGUGUAGCGGUGAAAUGCGUAGAUAUCCGGAGGAACACCGGUGGCGAAGGCGGCUA
rnacentral:rRNA from 1 species